UCGAGAGUCGAGACAAUAAACUUCGCCCCGAUUAACAUUGAGAACUAUUAGGAACCGACCAAGACAGUGUCUACAACUUGAAGUAGUAUUCAGUUAAUUGAAAUCAAGCUCAGGGUCACAAGUCAUUGGAACAAGUUUUUAAUAAUCAGUUAAUGACAAAUUUCUGACACAACUAUGCAGCUAAAUAGAAGCAAGACGAACCCCAACACUACACAAUGUAAAAGCUGCCACAAACAACUCCAAAGAAACAAACAAGCCCUCACUAAAAUAAUCACUCGAAACCUUUUAAGCCUAAUUAGAAAACAAAACGUGAGCUAAAAAGAUACCAUGUACUGUUUACUGAAAUCGCUUGCUUCUUCAACUGCCAAAUAUCUUAGUUUUGUGAGACAUUGAUAUUGCUAAAAAUGUGAAGAUUCCAUAGGACAUAGUUAAAGAAAUGACGCACUAGCAUUAGAAAAUUUCAUUGAGAAAAAUAACACAAGCUAAGUGGAGACAUUAAGUGUAAUUUUAGACUUUAAGUAUGAAAAAAAUGGCAUCAUAUAAUAAAUUAAACAAAGGGGUCCAAGUCUUCAUCCUGGAAUUGCGGUUCAAUGAUGGACUUGUUUAAUUGACUUUGAAGAAUGUAAUGGUUGGUAUCUAAACCUAAUAGUGUACACAUUAUUUUACCAAAGAUCAAUGCUUAAACUCUAGUUUCUUGUAUUGUUUGAUUAACAUUAACAUUCAUUAUAUGAGCACCAGCUAAGUACGGCGCAUGGAAAAACGGUCAAAUAUGAACUGUGAUUCGGUAAUUAUAUUACUAAUUAAGUGAGGCACAACCUUGACCAUUUGUUCUUUCUCUACUACAGUUUCCAUUAUGGCCGAUUCACACGUGGAAGUUCGUGGAAACAGAGAAAAAACUGGCCCCAUUUAUAACCAAAAAUACUAAUCUAGUUGAGCCUUAACCUUGUUUGAGCUUUUGACACUACUAAUUAGAUCCUUCUUUUUUUCCUACUAUCUCUUACACAUUCUCAUUCUUGAUCCUUUUGUUGUCCUCUCUUGAUGAUGUCAAGUUCAUCAAGGAGUCAAGUGGGGUGUCUCUUAUUGAUGAUACUAUUAAGUGUUUCAGUUCUAAGAGAUGGAGUGUUGGGUGGUAGAUAUCUAAAAGUAACACUAGUGGAUGAGUAUGUUCUUCAAUCUCCUCCAUGUUGGAGGAAAAGCUGCAUUAACAAUAAUGAAACAGAUGGUGAUGGAGGCUCUUACUCUUUCGAGACAGUUCAUAGAGAAGUUCCAUCCUCUCCUGACCCCUUACACAACAGCAUGUUUCAGAUAAUUUGACCAACAAAGUUAAGGAUGCUCAAGUUAUAAGAUCUUGAAUCUGGAGGUUCAAUAUUUGAACUGCAGUGCCACUCAUUGUGGGAAAUGUUUAAGAGUGGAUAUACUAUUUGUACAGCUAGAUAUGGUUGUUCAUGUUGGCAAGUAAUUAUUUUAUUAUUUUAUUUUAUUUAACGUCUAUUCUUAUGUUUUUAUUGAAACCCUGUAACAUUGUUGGUCAUUACUCAUUAUUCAAUAGUACACAACAAUAAUUUGCAAUAAAAUAUCCCUUUUCCAGGCUCUAAUAGUAAUGGUAUGUAUUAUUAAGCGACAAUCAGUAAUAAUCAUUGCCUCAGCUCGUGGUCAUUUUGAUUUUAGUUACUAUGCGCACCGAGAGAAAAAUUAUACCAAAAAAUGAUGUGUCUUAUUGUUCAUUCUCCCAAAAGAACAAAUCAAAACAGUGUCCUUAAAAGAGUUAUGACCGUGAAUGCUACUCUGUUAAGAGCCAGCUAAAAAGAUUGGGCACCACAACAAUGCAUCUGUUGUGUCAUUAUUCUAUUACAAAACUUGUUUCAAUAGUUUAGUCCCAAAUUUCCAGACGGUAUUGCUCUUUUCAAAAAAAUUUGUAAUUGAAGCCAGGAUAGACGCA